rnacentral:rRNA from 1 species
ACGUAUGGUGCAAGCGUUAUCCGGAUUUACUGGGUGUAAAGGGAGCGCAGGCGGUGCGGCAAGUCUGAUGUGAAAGCCCGGGGCUCAACCCCGGUACUGCAUUGGAAACUGUCGUACUAGAGUGUCGGAGGGGUAAGCGGAAUUCCUAGUGUAGCGGUGAAAUGCGUAGAUAUUAGGAGGAACACCAGUGGCGAAGGCGGCUUACUGGACGAUAACUGACGCUGAGGCUCAAAAGCGUGGGGAGCAAACAG